UUUAAGCCUCUUGAUGAGCCCUUGGAGGAGAUGGAACAAAGCUGUGUGAUCUUUGAGUACUGGGAGACAGCUGUUAAUAUCUUUCGAAACAACCCAGGAUGCUAUACUGCUUGAGAGCAACACUGGGGCAUGAUCUUGAGAGGUCUCUAAAGCCUAAAAUGGUCUGUGUGCCCACUCAGUGGAGGGAGGACUAUGUAGCCUCCCAAACCUCUGCAAAAUGAGCUUCAGGGGAAGAUCACUAGAGGCAUUCCUCAAUUCAAAGAAGACAAAAGCUAGGCAGAAGUUACCUGUGGAGGGCAAGACUCCUCCCGCCGUGGAAUUUUUCAGCUCCUCAUCCCAAUAGCUGGCCUGGAACCAAGUCAGUUCCUAGAUCAAGGUAUGAGGUUUGCUGAUAUCUUGCUAGAUGAAAACUUCACUGCUAAAAACAACAGCAUAAAAUAUGACCCAAGGGGUGAGGAUCCAAGAUGGCCGAAUAGAAACAGCUCCAGAGUGCAGUUCCCAGCAAGAACAGCACAGAGGUUUCCUCAUCUGUACAAUGAGAGACUUGAAAAUGCACUACUACGGACAUCAUCCCAUCGUCUGUCUAACUUCCAGAUAAAAAUCCAAACUGCUUAUGGAGACUCAAGAUGGCACAGUGAGAACAACCCAGGAUUGAAGCUCUCGGUGAAUGCGCAGAGAGGGUGGAGUUUGUUGCCUUUUCAAAGAAGAUUUUCCAACGAAGCAAUGCCAUGGAGAGUGUUCCCAGGUAUUCAGAGCACAUCGAAAACCCGAUCCUGCCUCUCGGCUAGGCAGCACAGAUUCACUGCCAAGAUAAAAAGAGCACAGGUUAUCACUCGGGCCUUGGGCCUAGUUGCCUUGCAGAAUAGAUAA
rnacentral:lncRNA from 13 species